UUGAUUCAAGAAGACAGAUGCGAGGCUAGUCAAAAUCGAGUCAAGAAUCGGCGACGCGAGUCUACUUCGUUUCAGGAUCCAGGCGAGUGAAAUCGUCCUUUUGAGUGUAGGUCUGAUUUAGGAAUGCUUGUCGGUGUCGGCAAUCGUGAGGGAGAGAAUUAGAUUUUGUGUGUUAGGGAUGGAAAUUUUUAGGGUCUGGUGGCGUAUAUCUGACCCGAAAACAUGAAAUCAUGUUAUUUUUGAGAAUCUCCUAUAAUUAUAUACAAGGGAUAUAAAAUUAUUUUAAUUUUUUUUUAAUAGUCUGGUGUUGAUACUAUAUACAUAUAACAAAUGAAAAGUAUAUAUUUAUUUUCUAUUAUGAAUUUUGAUAAGAGAAUUUUAUAUGUUAUUUUUUCUUAUUUUCAAUUCUAUAUUUUAUUUUUAUUAUUUUCUUUUGGGACCAUUGUUUGCGGAGAGGCUUAAAUUAAUUGAUUUAACCUGUCACCAACGUGCACUUAUCUUUUCGGUCAAGUGUGUCCUAAGAGAACUUUACAGUUAUGAGUGUUUAUGUAUACAAGUAUCUUAAAUUUAAA
rnacentral:lncRNA from 1 species